rnacentral:rRNA from 1 species
CUACGGGGGGCUGCAGUGGGGAAUAUUGGGCAAUGGGCGCAAGCCUGACCCAGCAACGCCGCGUGAGGGAAGAAUGUCUUCGGAUUGUAAACCUCUGUCCUUAGGGACGAAAAAAAUGACGGUACCUAAGGAGGAAGCUCCGGCUAAGCUACGUGCCAGCAGCCGCGGUAAUACGUAGGGAGCAAGCGUUGUCCGGAAUUAUUGGGCGUAAAGGGUGCGUAGGCGGUAAUCCAAGUCAGAUGUGAAAGACCCGGGCUUAACUCGGGAGGUGCAUUUGAAACUGGGUUACUUGAGUACAGGAGAGGUAAGUGGAAUUCCUAGUGUAGCGGUGAAAUGCGUAGAUAUUAGGAGGAACACCAGUGGCGAAGGCGACUUACUGGACUGUCACUGACGCUGAGGCACGAAAGCGUGGGGAGCAAACAGGAUUAGAUACCCGCGUAGUC